rnacentral:rRNA from 1 species
GACGAACGCUGGCGGCGUGCUUAACACAUGCAAGUCGAACGGAAAGGCCCUGCUUUUGUGGGGUGCUCGAGUGGCGAACGGGUGAGUAACGCGUGAGUAACCUGCCCUUGACUUUGGGAUAACUUCAGGAAACUGGGGCUAAUACCGGAUAGGAGCUCCUGCUGCAUGGUGGGGGUUGGAAAGUUUCGGCGGAUGGGGAUGGACUCGCGGCUUAUCAGCUUGUUGGUGGGGUAGUGGCUUACCAAGGCUUUGACGGGUAGCCGGCCUGAGAGGGUGACCGGCCACAUUGGGACUGAGAUACGGCCCAGACUCCUACGGGAGGCAGCAGUGGGGAAUAUUGCACAAUGGGCGGAAGCCUGAUGCAGCAACGCCGCGUGCGGGAUGACGGCCUUCGGGUUGUAAACCGCUUUCGCCUGUGACGAAGCGUGAGUGACGGUAAUGGGUAAAGAAGCACCGGCUAACUACGUG